rnacentral:rRNA from 1 species
GUCUAUAGCCAUGCCACCCUGAACAAGCCCAAUCCCGUCUGAUCUUGGAAGCUAAGCAGGGUCAGGCCUGGUUAGUACUUGGAUAAAAGACCACCUAGGAAGACCAGGAGCUGUAGGCA